rnacentral:rRNA from 1 species
AUUGAACGCUGGCGGCAUGCCUUACACAUGCAAGUCGAACGGUAACAGGUCACCGCUUGCUGACUCGCGGCGGACGGGCGGAUAAUGCAGCGGUGUGUGCCCAGCCGCCGGGGGUAACUGGUUGACUGCGCAAAACGUACCGCAUACGAGCUGAGCGUGACAGCGGGGGACCGUAGGGCCUCCCGCCAUCUUGCCGUCGGAUGUCGGAUUAGCUAGUAGGUGGGGUAAAGGCCUACCUAGGCGACGAUCUGUAGUUGGUCUGAGAGAAUGACCAGCCACACUGGGACUGAGACACGGCCCAGACUCCUACGGGAGGCAGCAGUGGGGAAUUUUGGACAAUGGGCGCAAGCCUGAUGCAGCAAUGCCGCGUGUAUGAAGAAGGCCUUCGGGUUGUAAAGUGCUUUUGGCAGGGAGGAAAGCUGCUGGGCUAAUACCUCGAGAGGAUGACGGUACCUGAAGAAGAAGCACCGGCUAACUACGUG